rnacentral:rRNA from 1 species
CACGCCGUAAACGAUGGAUACUAGGUGUGGGGGGACUGACCCCUUCCGUGCCGCAGUUAACACAAUAAGUAUCCCACCUGGGGAGUACGAUCGCAAGGUUGAAACUCAAAGGAAUUGACGGGGGCCCGCACAAGCGGUGGAGUAUGUGGUUUAAUUCGAAGCAACGCGAAGAACCUUACCAGGGCUUGACAUGGAGACGACCGCGCUAGAGAUAGCGCUUCCCUUCGGGGCGUCUCACACAGGUGG